rnacentral:rRNA from 1 species
UGACUAUUUGUUUAACGGCCGCGGUAUUUUGACCGUGCGAAGGUAGCGCAAUCACUUGUCUUUUAAAUGGAGACCCGUAUGAAUGGCAUAACGAGGGCUUAACUGUCUCCUCUUUCAAGUCAAUGAAAUUGAUCUUUCCGUGCAGAAGCGGGAAUAUAAACAUAAGACGAGAAGACCCUAUGGAGCUUUAGACACUACAGCAGCCCACGUUAAAGCACCCUAAACAAAGGACUAAACCAAGUGGCCCCUGCCUUAAUGUCUUUGGUUGGGGCGACCGCGGGGAAUUAAAGAACCCCCACGUGGAGCGGGAAUACUUUUCCUACAACCAAGAGCUACAGCUCUAGUUAACAGAACUUCUGACCAGCAAGAUCCGGCACUGCCGAUCAACGGACCGAGUUACCCUAGGGAUAA